UACAGAGGUCCCAAGCGUUGUUCGGAUUCAUUGGGCGUAAAGGGUGCGUAGGUGGCGUCGUAAGUCGGGUGUGAAAUUUCGGAGCUCAACUCCGAAACUGCAUUCGAUACUGCGGUGCUUGAGGACUGGAGAGGAGACUGGAAUUUACGGUGUAGCAGUGAAAUGCUUAGAGAUCGUAAGGAAGACCAGUGGCGAAGGCGGGUCUCUGGACAGUUCCUGACACUGAGGCACGAAGGCCAGGGGAUCAAACGGG
rnacentral:rRNA from 1 species